AAGGGAGACCUAAUUCAGGUAGGAGACGAAAAAAAAGUAGUCGCUACCAAGAAUCAAUCCCAAAAGGUCGGAGCGAGGCGAAAUUGGCUUUCAAACUAGGUUCUGGGUUCAAACAAGACCUGAAUCAGGAACAAGGGCUAUUAGCUCAGGUGGUUAGAGCGCACCCCUGAUAAGGGUGAGGUCCCUGGUUCGAGUCCAGGAUGGCCCACCUGCACAGGUGGCAAAAACAAAGAAGCUCCGAAUCAGCACCUUAUCUUACUUAUAUAGUAAGAGAGAAUGCUGGCUCUGAGUUCAGAGUCCAGAGGAACCUUGAAAACUGCAUAGAGCUAGGUGAAAAAGCCAAAAAAGAAGACCGCAAGGUCAAGCUAAUAAGGGCUAACGGUGGAUACCUAGGCAC
rnacentral:tRNA from 1 species